ACAUAUGAGUUUGCAUGGGAGCAGGAGGAAGAGUAUACAUUCAGUCCAUAAAUGAGAAACCAUCCAGAAAUUAUCCAUUUCAAAGGAGUUACUGUAUCUACUCUAUCCUUCAUUUUUUGCAUGAAAAUCGCACAAACUAUUGGAAGACAGUUCAUCUUUAUCUUGCAUUUCAGACUAAAAUGCAACAGGCUCCACAAUCAAUGCAAGAUACCAUGAUCACAAUGACUUCCCAGCCAUCCACAAUCAUUCUUCAGAGCCAAGUGUCAAGGAAGUGAUGAGUCAGCCUUCAUCAUGAAUGCCUCGGCCAAGUCGGCCCACACAAGCUUCAGGGGUUAGGAACCAGAGUAAUCCCUUUACACCAUGGAAGAGUCACUGAAGUUCAGCUGCCUUUUGCAGCCUGCACACCACUGUUGAAUGUUAUCUCAGGAAAGAAGGACAUCCAAUAUUCACCCAGGAGCAAGAAUCCACAACCACAUUUACCCCCAUCCCUUGGAAAUGGUAGCCAUACCCAAAACCUGAAGGCGACUUGGUGUUACUGGAGCCCAGAGAGUUGGAGCUAAAGAGAAGGUCGGAGAGGCCCAGCAGGUACAGUGUUCACUGAAGUGUACAGACCGGAAACAGAGCCCACUGCAGCGAAGAGCAAGGAGAAAGAUGGUAUCUCUCUCUCAUCUCGCCCUCUAAUCUCCUGAGGGCACUUCCGAAUGGCAGAAGGCAACUGGAAACCAGUCUACAAGACAGCCUCACUGCCAUAACCCUUAGGAGUUUGUAUCCUGGAGCAGUAGCCAGCAGAGAAGGCAGAAAAUGGAUAUGAAGUUUGAGGCAGACUAAGCAACAUAAAAAUAUUCUGUAUUCUUUCUAGAAGCAUAUGGAAAUUUUUUUUUUUGCUUAAUACCACCAAUAAAGCUGAA